rnacentral:rRNA from 1 species
GAUGAACGCUGGCGGCGUGCCUAAUACAUGCAAGUCGAGCGAACGGACGAGAAGCUUGCUUCUCUAAUGUUAGCGGCGGACGGGUGAGUAACACGUGGAUAACCUACCUAUAAGACUGGGAUAACUUCGGGAAACCGGAGCUAAUACCGGAUGAUAUUUUGAACCGCAUGGUUCAAAAGUGAAAGACGGUCUUGCUGUCACUUAUAGAUGGAUCCGCGCUGCAUUAGCUAGUUGGUAAGGUAACGGCUUACCAAGGCAACGAUGCAUAGCCGACCUGAGAGGGUGAUCGGCCACACUGGAACUGAGACACGGUCCAGACUCCUACGGGAGGCAGCAGUAGGGAAUCUUCCGCAAUGGGCGAAAGCCUGACGGAGCAACGCCGCGUGAGUGAUGAAGGUCUUCGGAUCGUAAAACUCUGUUAUUAGGGAAGAACAUAUGUGUAAGUAACUGUGCACAUCUUGACGGUACCUAAUCAGAAAGCCACGGCUAACUACGUG